UAUGCUAAUAAGCUGAAUCCCAAAGGGGAACGGGGGAUAUACCUGGGGUGAAUCGCAAACCUUGUUUGUGUAGGGCAAACUCUCUGCCCGAAUCCGUCAACUAACCUCGUAAGCUUGUGAGAGGAGAAUU
rnacentral:sRNA from 2 species